GAACUAAUACUCACUAGAGAAACCCAUCGAGGCACACGCCACGCGCGUGUACCCCGAGCCAAGCGCCCUCGCCGGGCCGCCGCCGCCGCGUUUUUUUGAAAAACCGAACUCUGAUUCGCACUCGAUCUCGAGUCGUGCGUCGGAGAGCCCGUUUAGGUUUAGCGGGGGGAGACGGUGAUCUCGGACUCCGGGGCGGUGAGGGUGCCGUUCUUAAGCUCGAAGAACGCCUUCACGGGCCACGCACCAGCCGCCAUCAUCAGGCCGAGCGCGGUGGGCACGUCGAUGAUGAUCUCACCCUCGGUGGGCUUCGCCUUCUCCUUGUUGAGCAUGACGUAAGAGCGGCCGGCGUAGCCGAUCCAGCCGGCGACGUAGAGGAAGCCGAGGCCGGGGAUGGCGAACUCGCCGAGGUGCUCGAGGUUACCGUCCACGAUCAGGUGGGGCAGGCCGUCGGCGCCGCAGAGGAGGCCAGCCUCGCCGUAGUUCUUGAAGCGCUGGGACGUCUUGUCCAUGGUCGCCUUGAGAGCGAGCGCGGGGGCAGACUCGGGGUCGUACUUCUUGAGGCGCUUCUCGAGAGCCUUGAUCUCCUGCUUCUCGCGCUUGGCGAACGCCUU
rnacentral:lncRNA from 1 species